GGUUCUGUAGUGUAGUGGUUAUCACAGUGGAUUCUGAUCAAUCACUUUACGGUUUGUGUUCCACUAACCCAGGUUCGAGUCCUGGCAGGACCU